UCUAUUAGGGUUCGACUAAGCCAUGCAAGUCUGCUUUUCUUCGGAAAGGCGGCGAAAUGCUCAGUAACACGUCAAUAAUCUGACCUUAAGUCUGGAAUAACUUUGGGAAACUGAAGCUAAGACUGGAUAAGAAACAAGUAUUGGAAUAUCUUUUUUCUGAAAGGUAACGCUUAAGGAUGAGUUGGCGGCGGAUUAAGUUGUUGGCGGGGUAAAGGCCCACCAAGCUAAAGAUCCGUAGGAGCCAUGAGAGUGGUAGCUCCGAGAGGGACACUGAGAUACUGGUCCCAGCCCUACGGGGUGCAGCAGGCGCGAAACCUUUACAAUGCACGAAAGUGUGAUAAGGGAACCCUAAGUGCUUAUGUUUUACAUAGGCUUUUGCCAAGAGCAAAUAUCUUGGCGAAUAAGCGAUGGGCAAGACUGGUGCCAGCAGCCGCGGUAAUCCCAGCGUCGCAAGUGGCAAUCAUGAUUAUUGGGCCUAAAGCGUCCGUAGCCGGUUUAAUAAAUUCUUCGUGAAAUCGUUGUGCUUAACAUAACGCUGUGCGAAGGAGACUGUUAAACUUGGGACAGGAGAGGAGUUAGAGGUAUUCCGGGGGGAGCGGUAAAAUGUUAUAAUCCCUAGAAGACCACCUGUGGCGAAAGCGUCUAACUAGAACUGAUCCGACGGUGAGGGACGAAAGCUAGGGGAGCAAAGCGGAUUAGAUACCCGUGUAGUCCUAGCCAUAAACGCUGUGAGCAAGGUGUUGCACAUUCUUUGUGAAUGUGCAGUAUCGAAAUGAAGAUGUUAAGCUCACCGCCUGGGAAUUAUGGUCGCAAGACUGAAACUUAAAGGAAUUGGCGGGGGAGCACCACAAGGGGUGCGGCGUGCGGUUUAAUCUAAUUCAACGCAGAGAAUCUCACCAAAAGCGACGGCAGGAUGAAGGUCAGGUUAAAGGCCUUACUCGACGAGCCGAGAGGUAGUGCAUGGCCGUCGUCAGCUCGUGCUGUAAAGUGUCCUGUUAAGUCAGGUAACGAGCGAGACCUGUAUCUACAAUUGCUAACAACCUUUGGGAUUGAGCACAUUGUAGGGACUGCCCGGGAAACCGGGAGGAAGGUGCAGGCAACGAUAGGUCUGUAUGCUCCGAAUCUUCUGGGCUACACGCGCGCAACAAUGAUAAGGACAAUGGGACGCAACUCUGAAAAGAGAAGCUAAUCCUCUAAACCUUACCUUAGUUCAGAUUGAGGAUUGUAAUUCAUCCUCAUGACGCUGGAAUCCCUAGUAAUCGGACUUUAUUAUAGUCCGGUGAAUAUGUCCCUGCUCCUUGCACACACCGCCCGUCAAACCAUCCGAGCCGGGUUUUGAUGAGUUUUAUCUUUCAGAUAAGCCGAAUCUAAGCUCAGUGAGGCGGGUUAAGUCGUCACAAGGUA
rnacentral:rRNA from 1 species